GGGUCAGUAGGUUGGUCGUGCCACCGGUACGUACUGGUCUCACUGAUUCCUCCUUCCUGAAGAACCGUAAUGCCAUUAAUUUGGUGUUGCGGGGAAACAGGACUGUUACUUUGAAAAAAUUAGAGUGUUUAAAGCAAGCUAACGCUUGAAUACAUUAGCAUGGAAUAAUGAAAUAGGACGAUCGAUCCUAUUUUGUUGGUUUCUAGGAUUGACGUAAUGAUUAAUAAGGAUAGUGGG
rnacentral:rRNA from 1 species